AGUAAAAGUCGUAACAAGGUUUCCGUAGGUGAACCUGCGGAAGGAUCAUUAAUGAGCAAGGGUGCUCGCGCCCGACCUCCAACCCUUUGUUGUUAGAACACCUUGUUGCUUUGGCGGGACCGCCGGCCCCUCGUGGGCCGGCUGCCGGUCUUCGGCCCGGCAAGCGCCUGCCAGAGUCAAACCUAAAAACUCCUGUUAUUAACCGGUCGUCUGAGUUGAUCUUUAAAUAAAUCAAAACUUUCAACAACGGAUCUCUUGGUUCUCGCAUCGAUGAAGAACGCAGCGAAAUGCGAUAAGUAAUGUGAAUUGCAGAAUUCAGUGAAUCAUCGAAUCUUUGAACGCACAUUGCGCCCUCUGGUAUUCCGGGGGGCAUGCCUGUUCGAGCGUCAUUACACCACUCAAGCAAUGCUUGGUAUUAGGCACUCGUCCGUCCCUCGCGGCGGGCCGGCCUCAAAACCUUCGGCGAAGUCUCAUCGGCUUUGGGCGCAGUAGAAUUACUUCAAAACGCUCUGUGAGUCCGGUCGAGGCGUCUGCCGCGAACCGAUCGUUCCGCGAUCACUUCUUUCAAGGUUGACCUCGGAUCAGGUAGGGAUACCCGCUGAACUUAAGCAUAUCAAUAAGCGGAGGAAAAGAAACCAACAGGGAUUGCCCCAGUAACG
rnacentral:rRNA from 1 species